GAAGUCCGCCAGGCAGCCGCUGUGCGCAUCGUGCGCAUGGAGGAAAGUCCGGGCCCCAAAGAGCAGGAUGCCGGCUAACGGCCGGGCGCAGCAAGUCGAAAGACCCAAGGCGACGGAAAGUGGCACAGAAAACACACCGCCGAUGGCCCCGCAAGGGGAUCAGGCAAGGGUGAAAUGGCGGGGUAAGAGCCCACCGCAGACCGUGGCAACACGGCUGGCACGCUAAACCCCAUCCGGGGCAAGGCCAAAUAGGGAAGCCAUGGCGCUGCUCGCGCCGCUUCCGGGUAGGCUGCUAGAGCGCCGCGGCAACGCGUCGCCCAGAGGAAUGGCUGCCGGGCAGCUUCGGCUGCCGCACAGAACCCGGCUUAUCGGCGGACUUCCAAU
rnacentral:RNase_P_RNA from 1 species